AACGAACGCUGGCGGCAUGCCUAACACAUGCAAGUCGAACGAGACCUUCGGGUCUAGUGGCGCACGGGUGCGUAACGCGUGGGAAUCUGCCCUUGGGUUCGGGAUAACAGUUGGAAACGA
rnacentral:rRNA from 1 species